rnacentral:pre_miRNA from 11 species
CACUCACACACACACUGAAAGACCCCCAGAGUGGGGAGACCCUCACUCAAGUCUCGGGAUAAGCCGACGCCCCAAUAAUUCAAGAGAGACC